rnacentral:misc_RNA from 1 species
GAUGAAGAACGUAGCGAAAUGCGAUAAGUAAUGUGAAUUGCAGAAUUCAGUGAAUCAUCGAAUCUUUGAACGCACAUUGCGCCCGCCAGAAUUCUGGCGGGCAUGCCUGUUCGAGCGUCAUUUCAACCCUCGGUCUCCCUCCGGGAGAGACCGGCGUUGGGGACCGGCACUUACCCCGCCGGCCCCGAAAUGAAGUGGCGGCCCGUCCGCGGCGACCUCUGCGUAGUAACUCCACUCGCACCGGGACCCGGGCGCGGCCACGCCGUAAAACCCCCAACUUCCGAAUGUUGACCUCGAAUCAGGUAGGAAUACCCGCUGAACUUAAGCAUAUCAAUAAGCGGAGGA